UACGUAGGGGUGCGAGCGUUUGUCCGGAAUUAUUGGGCGUAAAGAGCUUGUAGGUGGUUUGUCGCGUCUGCUGUGAAAAUCCGGGGCUCAACCCCGGACUUGCAGUGGGUACGGGCAGACUAGAGUUCGGUAGGGGAGUCUGGAAUUCCUGGUGUAGCGGUGAAAUGCGCAGAUAUCAGGAGGAACACCGGUGGCGAAGGCGGGACUCUGGGCCGAUGACUGACGCUGGAGGAGCGAAAGCGUGGGGAGCAAACAGG
rnacentral:rRNA from 1 species